UGUUUGUGUGGAGCCCGCGUUGACUCACAGUUACAAUAAUGACUCUGGCAGCAGAGUGGAUGAACAGCUCAUACUGACUGUACAGAGCAAAAAGAGAGAAAGGAGGGAGGGUUGGGCUCACAGCGGCAUCUCCAUCUCAUAACUCCUCUGUCGCUCAUCAAGCUCACACACACAUACACACUUACGCAGAGAGAAGACAGCCCUGAGGAGCACAGCACCUACAGUACAAUAUAAUACAGGACGCUUCAGUGCAGGACAGGAGUGGCUUUAAACCGGAGAAGCGAGUAUGAAGACGUCUUUAAGGAGGAAGUCAUUCAUUGUGUCGCAGGUGACUGGCGACUCGCAGAGGUCUGCACAAUCAGGUAGGUGGAACACCAGGAGGCACCCAGGAGUUUCCAACCAGCUUUGCUGAGGCGGUUUCUCCAAAAACGUCCCUUCGGAUCCCAGUUAAAUUCCUUGCACCACUUCUGCCAUGGAUCUAGCUGGCUGUGUAACCACACCCUCUGGUGUUCAUCUGGGAAAUGAGCAACUGAACAAAUACAGCCAGCUUCCGUCCUCAAACAGCAGCAGCCUUUGAGCUACACCUGCAUCCACUUUGCUACAGGAAGCUUGCCAGGCCAUGAAUAUACAAGAAUGUCCUUUUCUGUAUUAAACCUAUUAACGGUGUCAAUCAGAAGACUUGUUGAGUAAAGAACUGCACUCAGAAACUGAUUUCAUUUGGUGACGUAGAUGUUUGUACACAGUCUCUAGCACCAUAUGAAAUCAGUGUUCUGGGAGGUGGACUAUCAGACUCUGUACAUGAAUAAACUGAAAUAUGAUGCCAUGAAAGUAGGUCGCAUUUGUUUGAAUUGCAUCCUGUUUCUACUGCCUCGCUGCUCAAAGCUGCUGACUGGUUUCUUAAGUCUUUUUCCUUCCUUUCAUCAAAAUUGUGCCUCGAUUCUUCUGUGAACUCUUUCCCCUGAUGGUAAAUGUAUUACUCUGAACUUCUGAUUUUGUUAAAUAAAGAUAAACGUAUAUUUUGUGGUUAUAAAGAAUGUAAUUUUUAUAUGUUUUUUUGUAUUGUGUUUAAUAAAGGUAAAGAUCAAUAAAGCACACACAAGCAGCUACUGUCUAUGUUCUGAAAGAGAUUAUUAUAUUAUUGAUUAAAGUUUCAGUUGCACUCCA